rnacentral:lncRNA from 1 species
UGGUGAUAAAUAUAAUAACUUCCAAGAUUAUGAUUAUGAUGAUGAUAACACAACACCAAACAAAAACGAAUUCACAAAUUAUAGUAAUAGUAACAAGAACAUGUAUCAUAGUACUUCAAAUAAUAUUAAUAACAAUAAUAAUAAUAACAUGUACAAUACUGUUCCUAGAGAAUUAAAUAAAAAUUAUAUUAAGGGUAGUAGUACUGCUACAGAAGAAAAUGAUGACGAAUAUGUAAUAAAUGGCGCCAAUAGCAAUGACACAAAAAGACACAAUAAUAGUAAUAAAGACAAUUUACUUAAUAGUGAUGACCCUAAUAAAUUUUUAAAUUUAAUGAAAGAAGAUGAGGUUAUUAAUCCACAAAUUUACGAAUACAUAGAAAAAGAAGAAACUAUAUGUAUUAAUGUGAAACUGAUAAUUUUCAUUUUUUUGUUUAUAAAAAAAAAAUACAUGGCAAUAUUCUUGAAUAAUGUUUUAAUGGUAGCAAAUGUAACCUGCGGAGAAGUAAACACUGCCAUAACCUGUUUCAAAAAAAGCAUUUAUGAUAAGUAUUAUAAAUAUAUAAUGAAAAAUAUAACGCACUCAGAAAACUACAAACAUUUAGAAAAUGAAAAAUUGAAAUCUAGAGUGAAUGUAACCAUUCCAGAUUAUUUUAGCUCAGCAGAUGAAGAAAGAGACUUGGUUUAUAGAAAUGAUAUAUAUGACAUUAAAAAUUACACUAAUGCAAUUAUAAAUUGGGGAGAUAAAUCAUUUGACGAAUUUAAAUAUAUUAAUUCAGUUUAUUCAUGUUCUGAUACAUCAAGAUUAUCUUCUAUAAUAGAAGAAAUAUUAGCACACUAUAUGCAUGUAUAUGUUUGUGGUAGGGACACAAAUAAUAACUUAUGCCUAAACAACAUUAACCAAAAUGUUUAUACAUUUACCCGAAUUAGUAACAAUUUUUUUUAUUACAACUUUAAUAACUUUCUUUAUCUAUACAAAUACAAUUAUUACAUUUACUACAUAUAUAAAAAUAAUAUUCACCUUAAUCAUAAUAAUGAUUUAAAAUAUAUAGA